UCGGCGCCUGCCGGGCCUCGCCGGAAGCCCGUGCUUGGCCCGCCCCGCCGCUGCUCUCGCUGCCGAUUGAGUUCCGUCAGCCGCGCGGCCGGCCCCGACCAGGUCCCGAUUGGCCCUGACCGCUGUCCAUCGCAUCCGGCCCGCCUCCGCGCCGGCGGCCUGUUUCCGGCGGAAGCGCGGGCCAGAGCGGCCCCUAUUGUUGCUGUGUCAUAGGGGAGCGGCGGCGGCCCCUGGCGGCGGGGCUGAGAACAGCUCCCCAGCCUCCACGACACGCAGAAGGGCCCCCGCGGGGCGGCGCUGCCGAGGUCGAGACGAGGGUGGUGGGCACCGGACCGUACACAAACGUGCCUGUGGGGCUGAGCUGUGACACGCACCCAGGGACGGGUGUCCGCUGCGUUAUCCAUUCGGUCCUGAAUGGACCCAUCUCUCUCCACACCGCAGGGAGACAGCCUGUCUGAUUUGCAUUAUUGGGUCCCAGAGAGAAACUGUCUCAGAAAACAGAUGGAUAUUCAUGAGAAUGACACCCAGGGCUGAAGUCUGCUCUCUGUACACAAAGCUUCAACCAUGAGGACAUAGGAAAUUCAGGGCAUUCUUCUAUGCAUGAGUAUGGCUCAGCCAGCAAGAAGAUCCCAGGGCUACUGGAGCUAUGACAUCCUCCUAGGAGCUAAGCCUGUACCAGACUUGGAAGUGUGAUACUGACCUUUGUCAGCAGCCUGAAGACUGUGCCACUGGGAGCUGUUCCGCUGGAACUCAAACCGAAAGCACUAACAUACAUGCAUGUGGGUGUCAUCAUUCCUCCUUGGAGCACUAUGCUCCUAGAGCAUUACAGGUUCUCAGCCAAAGGA